UGAUGAGGUAUCACCGCUGGGUCCAGCCCAAGUGGCCGUAGUGGCCGUUGGAACCGGCAGUGAUGCUUCCUAUCACCGCCGGUUCGUGGUACGAACCGUUGGUGAUGGCCUGCGAGCGCAUCACCGCCGGCUUGUAACACGAACCGGCGGUGAUAUAAAACAUCAUCAACGGUUCGUAUUACGAACCGGCGGUGAUCUGUCUUCCUAUCUCGUCAAAUUUUUUUCGUGCGUCCUUAUCCUAUCUCCCCACCGAUGCCCCUCAGAACCUUCUUCUCUUCUCAUCCCCAUCUCCAACCCCCUGCCCCCCUUCUCCUUCCCGUCCCCGUCGGCGCGCGCAGCAGUGGAGGCGCGGGCAGCGGCAGCGGCGGCAUGGGCUCGGCGGCGCGCGCAGCAGUGGAGGCACGGGUAGCGGCGGCGUGCGCUGUGGCCGCGGCAGCGGCGUGGGCUCAGCAGUGCGAGUAGCGGUUGUGGCGGCGUGAGCCGCGAGGCCGCAACUUCUCUUCCCCGCGCCGUCUCCGUCGUAGCGUUAUCACUCCUCGUGGAUGAAGCGAUGUAGGCAUGGAUGGCGUCCGCGAAGGAUGCGGCUGGAUCUGCAAUGGAGAACCUGGUGGUUGCACAGAUUAUACAAGAAAAACUAGAUGGAGGUGGCCUCCCUAUUAUUGUUGGCGGCACAAAUUUCUACAUCCAGGCUGCCAGGCAUUCCAGCCCUUCUCCAUUUAAUAGGCCAAGCUCUAGCCGAAAUGCGGAGUGCUUUGUCGGUUAAUCUGCUGGUGUACGACUUCUGAGGAAGUGAAGAUGCUGCAUCAGAGAUGCUUGCUGACAAGGUGCACACAAAAGUCUUUUUUGCAAGUACUGAUACUAGGAUCUGUGUGGAAUGCAUGAACUUAGUAGUCACAUAGAUUUGAUUGUCAUUUAAAAACAUCCAUUUGUAGCCUGUAAAAUAGAUUUGUGCUUUGUAGCCUGUAAAAUAGAUUUGUGCUUUGAACGGCCAUUUGCUUCUUUUGCAUUGCACAUCAACAUCAUACAGAGAAGGCUGAGAGGUGAUUGUAUGGACUCUUUUGUUUAAUCUCGAUGUAUGAGCUCAUAUGGUUGAAUUCUGCUGCUAUAAUUAUAUAUUAUAUAUGUUGUACAAAUGAUGCAAUAUUAUUAUAUGAAAAUAUUUUUUUU